ensembl:snRNA U6 U6 spliceosomal RNA
GUGCUCACUUCAGGAACACAUACACUAAAAUUGGAACAGUACAGAUAAGAUUAUCAUGGCUCCUGUGCAAGGAUGACACACAAAUUCGUGAAGUGUUCCAUAUUUUU